UGGCUAACUCCGUGCCAGCAGCCGCGGUAAUACGGAGGGGGCUAGCGUUAUUCGGAAUUAUUGGGCGUAAAGGGCGCGUAGGCGGGUUAAUAAGUUAAAAGUGAAAUCCCGAGGCUUAACCUUGGAAUUGCUUUUAAAACUAUUAAUCUAGAGAUUGAAAGAGGAUAGAGGAAUUCCUAAUGUAGAGGUAAAAUUCGUAAAUAUUAGGAGGAACACCAGUGGCGAAGGCGUCUAUCUAGUUCAAAUCUGACGCUGAAGCGCGAAGGCGUGGGGAGCAAACAGGAUUAGAUACCCUGGUAGUCCACGCUG
rnacentral:rRNA from 1 species